GUGGGGAAUUUUGGACAAUGGGCGCAAGCCUGAUCCAGCAAUGCCGCGUGCAGGAAGAAGGCCUUCGGGUUGUAAACUGCUUUUGUACGGAACGAAACGGUCCUGGUUAAUACCUCGGAGGGAUGACGGUACCUGAAGAAUAAGCACCGGCUAACUACGUGCCAGCAGCCGCGGUAAUACGUAGGGUGCGAGCGUUAAUCGGAAUUACUGGGCGUAAAGCGUGCGCAGGCGGUUUUGUAAGAUCGAUGUGAAAUCCCCGGGCUCAACCUGGGAACUGCGUUGGUGACUGCAAGGCUGGAGUGCGGCAGAGGGGGAUGGAAUUCCGCGUGUAGCAGUGAAAUGCGUAGAUAUGCGGAGGAACACCGAUGGCGAAGGCAAUCCCCUGGGCCUGCACUGACGCUCAUGCACGAAAGCGUGGGGAGCAAACAGGAUUAGAUACCCGGGUAGUCC
rnacentral:rRNA from 1 species